UCUAUGGUGCCUGAUUAAAAGGAUAGUCUUGAUAGGACUAAUUAUGUAACCCCUAACUUUACCCAUAUUA
rnacentral:tRNA from 1 species